rnacentral:rRNA from 1 species
GACGAACGCUGGCGGCGUGCUUAACACAUGCAAGUCGAACGGAAAGGCCCUGCUUUUGUGGGGUGCUCGAGUGGCGAACGGGUGAGUAACACGUGAGUAACCUGCCCUUGACUUUGGGAUAACUUCAGGAAACUGGGGCUAAUACCGGAUAGGAUCUCCUGCUGCAUGGUGGGGGUUGGAAAGUUUCGGCGGUUGGGGAUGGACUCGCGGCUUAUCAGUUUGUUGGUGGGGUAGUGGCUUACCAAGGCUUUGACGGGUAGCCGGCCUGAGAGGGUGACCGGCCACAUUGGGACUGAGAUACGGCCCAGACUCCUACGGGAGGCAGCAGUGGGGAAUAUUGCACAAUGGGCGGAAGCCUGAUGCAGCAACGCCGCGUGCGGGAUGACGGCCUUCGGGUUGUAAACCGCUUUCGCCUGUGACGAAGCGUGAGUGACGGUAAUGGGUAAAGAAGCACCGGCUAACUACGUG